UCACGGGUAACGGAGAAUUAGGGUUCGAUUCCGGAGAGGGAGCCUGAGAAACGGCUACCACAUCUACGGAAGGCAGCAGGCGCGCAAAUUGCCCCAUCCCGACACGGGGAGGCAGUGACAAGAAAUAACAACUCUAGGAUUUCUUAGAAGUGUAAUGAGGAUAAUUUACAAACCUUACCGAAUGCAAUUGGAGGGCAAGUCUGGUGCCAGCAGCCGCGGUAAUUCCAGCUCCAAUAGCGUAUAUUAAAGUUGUUGCAGUUAAAAAGCUCGUAGUUGAAGUUCUGAUCGUUCAGGUCCUCAGCCUUAGGCGGGGAUACUGACGGUCAUCCGCUUGCAAACAUAUGUUCGAUCUUCACCGGUUGGCUAUGUGAGUAAGCAUUUUACCUUGAGAAAAACAGAGUGUUCCAGGCAGGUUUGUCCGGAAUGCAUUAGCAUGGAAUAAUAGAACAUGACUGAAGUCUAUUUAUUGGUUUAAGGCUUUAGUAAUGAUUAAUAGGAACAGUCGGGGGCAUUCGUACUCAGCAGUCAGAGGUGAAAUUCUAAGAUUUGCUGAAGACGAACUAAUGCGAAAGCAUUUGCCAAGGAUGUUUUCAUUAAUCAAGAACGAAAGUUAGGGGAUCAAAGACGAUCAGAUACCGUCCUAGUCUUAACUAUAAACGAUACCGACUCGGAUUCAGUUGAAUCAAAAAGUUCAUUUGGGACCGUAGGAGAAAUCAAAGUCUUUGGGUUCUGGGGGGAGUAUGGUCGCAAGGCUGAAACUUAAAGGAAUUGACGGUUUUGCACCACCAUGGAGUGGAGUCUGCGGCUUAAUUUGACCCAACACUGGGAAACUCAUCAGGGCAAGAAGAUUUUAGGAUUGACAGAUUGAGAGUUCUUUCUUGAUUGGUCUAGUGGUGGUGCAUGGCCGUUCUUAGUUGGUGGAGUGAUUUGUCUGGUUAAUUCCGUUAACGAACGAGACCUUAACCUGCUAACUAGUGAGCCGAUUCCUAAUCGGCUGCACUUCUUAGAGGGACUAUGUGUGGUAAUCACAUGGAAGUUUGAGGCAAUAACAGGUCUGUGAUGCCCUUAGAUGUCCUGAGCUGCACGCGUACUACCAUGGCACUUUCAACAAGUCUUUCCUGAUCCGAAAGGAUUUGGGUAAUCUUUUUAGGGAGUGCCGUGCUUGGGAUAGAUCUUUGUAAUUGUGGAUCUUGAACUA
rnacentral:rRNA from 1 species